rnacentral:lncRNA from 1 species
CUUUGAGCCAUUUCAACGUGUAGAAGAGAAUAAUCGAAUUUUGUUUAUUUAAAUGGCCAUCUCCUAAGAAUGGUUUAUGCCGCUUCCAAAGAGAAUUGUGUGCUAUCUAUCUAAUAACCAGGCACUGUAAAACUAAUAUAUGUAACAAAAAUGCUAUAGAUAAUUACAAGGCAGCUGCUCUAAAGCUGUCAGGAUGGAGAAGAUGGUUUAUAUCUUGUUUUUUCUGGUCAGUCCCUCUGCUCAUAGGAACGUGGUAAGCUGGGAACAGUGAAGCUGUGCAGCCCUUGAUCCCUCUAAAGAAGGCUUCCAAGUUGGUCAGAUGCUUUGCUUUUGAUUUCAUAUUUGUUGUAAUACAAACUGAGAGUGUGAAGAAAAAAUGAAAGACCAACCACCUGAUUCUUCACUAUUCCUCGCUCUUAUUGGAGGGGAACUCUAGCUGUGGGGCUGCUGCCUAGUAGCUGUGCCCAGUUCACUGACCUCGGUGGAAGUUCUGGAGUCCUCCAUGAAUUCAGGAAAGAAGUCUACGUGUCAAAAUCCCCUUUGGGCCUAUUUUUAAGCAUCUAGAUAUAUCUGAGAGCAGCUCCAGGAUUUGUAUGACUACAGUGCUCCUCAAGACUCAACUCCAAUGUGACUCAAAGGGAUGAAUUUUGCCCAGGAGAUUUUCUACAUGACCUUGGAAAAGUUGGAUGGGGCUGACUCUGCCCUGGAAGUCAAUGGGCUGUAUUUUACAAAGAGAGGAGAAUUAAGACUGCAUCAUUCCUGUACCUCUUGUCUCUUCACCUGUAAAAUGAAUUUAACGAUGCACUCCUACCCCCUCUGGGUGCGGCAAAGCUAA